rnacentral:rRNA from 1 species
GGUCAAGUGAAGAAGCGCAUACGGUGGAUGCCUUGGCAGUCAGAGGCGAUGAAAGACGUGGUAGCCUGCGAAAAGCUUCGGGGAGUCGGCAAACAGACUUUGAUCCGGAGAUGUCUGAAUGGGGGAACCCAGCCAUCAUAAGAUGGUUAUCUUGUACUGAAUACAUAGGUGCAAGAGGCGAACCAGGGGAACUGAAACAUCUAAGUACCCUGAGGAAAAGAAAUCAACCGAGAUUCCCUUAGUAGUGGCGAGCGAACGGGGACUAGCCCUUAAGUGGAUUUGAGAUUAGCGGAACGCUCUGGAAAGUGCGGCCAUAGUGGGUGAUAGCCCUGUACGCGAAAAUCUCUUGUCAAUGAAAUCGAGUAGGACGGAGCACGAGAAACUUUGUCUGAAUAUGGGGGGACCAUCCUCCAAGGCUAAAUACUACUGACUGACCGAUAGUGAACUAGUACCGUGAGGGAAAGGCGAAAAGAACCCCGGAGAGGGGAGUGAAAUAGAUCCUGAAACCGUAUGCGUACAAGCAGUGGGAGCCCACUUUGUUGGGUGACUGCGUACCUUUUGUAUAAUGGGUCAGCGACUUAUUUUCAGUGGCGAGCUUAACCGAAUAGGGGAGGCGUAGCGAAAGCGAGUCUUAAUAGGGCGUCUAGUCGCUGGGAAUAGACCCGAAACCGGGCGAUCUAUCCAUGGGCAGGUUGAAGGUUAGGUAACACUGACUGGAGGACCGAACCGACUACCGUUGAAAAGUUAGCGGAUGACCUGUGGAUCGGAGUGAAAGGCUAAUCAAGCUCGGAGAUAGCUGGUUCUCCUCGAAAGCUAUUUAGGUAGCGCCUCAUGUAUCACUGUAGGGGGUAGAGCACUGUUUCGGCUAGGGGGUCAUCCCGACUUACCAAACCGAUGCAAACUCCGAAUACCUACAAGUGCCGAGCAUGGGAGACACACGGCGGGUGCUAACGUCCGUCGUGAAAAGGGAAACAACCCAGACCGUCAGCUAAGGUCCCAAAGUUAUGGUUAAGUGGGAAACGAUGUGGGAAGGCUUAGACAGCUAGGAGGUUGGCUUAGAAGCAGCCACCCUUUAAAGAAAGCGUAAUAGCUCACUAGUCGAGUCGGCCUGCGCGGAAGAUGUAACGGGGCUCAAACCAUACACCGAAGCUACGGGUAUCACUUAGGUGAUGCGGUAGAGGAGCGUUCUGUAAGCCUGUGAAGGUGAGUUGAGAAGCUUGCUGGAGGUAUCAGAAGUGCGAAUGCUGACAUGAGUAACGACAAUGGGUGUGAAAAACACCCACGCCGAAAGACCAAGGUUUCCUGCGCAACGUUAAUCGACGCAGGGUUAGUCGGUCCCUAAGGCGAGGCUGAAAAGCGUAGUCGAUGGAAAACAGGUUAAUAUUCCUGUACUUCUGGUUAUUGCGAUGGAGGGACGGAGAAGGCUAGGCCAGCUUGGCGUUGGUUGUCCAAGUUUAAGGUGGUAGGCUGGAAUCUUAGGUAAAUCCGGGAUUCUAAGGCCGAGAGCUGAUGACGAGUGUUCUUUUAGAACACGAAGUGGUUGAUGCCAUGCUUCCAAGAAAAGCUUCUAAGCUUCAGGUAACCAGGAACCGUACCCCAAACCGACACAGGUGGUUGGGUAGAGAAUACCAAGGCGCUUGAGAGAACUCGGGUGAAGGAACUAGGCAAAAUGGCACCGUAACUUCGGGAGAAGGUGCGCCGGUGAGGGUGAAGCACUUGCUGCGUAAGCCCACGCCGGUCGAAGAUACCAGGCCGCUGCGACUGUUUAUUAAAAACACAGCACUCUGCAAACACGAAAGUGGACGUAUAGGGUGUGACGCCUGCCCGGUGCCGGAAGGUUAAUUGAUGGGGUUAGCUAACGCGAAGCUCUUGAUCGAAGCCCCGGUAAACGGCGGCCGUAACUAUAACGGUCCUAAGGUAGCGAAAUUCCUUGUCGGGUAAGUUCCGACCUGCACGAAUGGCGUAACGAUGGCGGCGCUGUCUCCACCCGAGACUCAGUGAAAUUGAAAUCGCUGUGAAGAUGCAGUGUAUCCGCGGCUAGACGGAAAGACCCCGUGAACCUUUACUAUAGCUUUGCACUGGACUUUGAAUUUGCUUGUGUAGGAUAGGUGGGAGGCUUUGAAGCGUGGACGCCAGUUCGCGUGGAGCCAUCCUUGAAAUACCACCCUGGCAACUUUGAGGUUCUAACUCAGGUCCGUUAUCCGGAUCGAGGACAGUGUAUGGUGGGUAGUUUGACUGGGGCGGUCUCCUCCUAAAGAGUAACGGAGGAGUACGAAGGUGCGCUCAGACCGGUCGGAAAUCGGUCGUAGAGUAUAAAGGCAAAAGCGCGCUUGACUGCGAGACAGACACGUCGAGCAGGUACGAAAGUAGGUCUUAGUGAUCCGGUGGUUCUGUAUGGAAGGGCCAUCGCUCAACGGAUAAAAGGUACUCCGGGGAUAACAGGCUGAUACCGCCCAAGAGUUCAUAUCGACGGCUGUGUUUGGCACCUCGAUGUCGGCUCAUCACAUCCUGGGGCUGAAGCCGGUCCCAAGGGUAUGGCUGUUCGCCAUUUAAAGUGGUACGCGAGCUGGGUUUAGAACGUCGUGAGACAGUUCGGUCCCUAUCUGCCGUGGACGUUUGAGAUUUGAGAGGGGCUGCUCCUAGUACGAGAGGACCGGAGUGGACGAACCUCUGGUGUUCCGGUUGUCACGCCAGUGGCAUUGCCGGGUAGCUAUGUUCGGAAUAGAUAACCGCUGAAAGCAUCUAAGCGGGAAACUAGCCUCAAGAUGAGAUCUCACUGGAGCCUUGAGCUCCCUGAAGGGCCGUCGAAGACUACGACGUUGAUAGGUUGGGUGUGUAAGCGCUGUGAGGCGUUGAGCUAACCAAUACUAAUUGCCCGUGAGGCUUGACCAU